GGAUCAUUAAAGAGUUUAAUAAAACUCCUAAACCCCUGUGAACUUACUGGUGUUUGGCUCGCCAGAUAUAGUCUGGUCCGUAAGCAAAUCGACUGCCUGCCUGUGUAACAGGCAGGUAAGCUUUUGUCGCGGGGUCCCGGAUCAACCCGGGCUAGAUAGCCACUUAACUAUAUACUUUUUAUAAAAUCUGUGAACUUACUAGGUUGGAUUCUCGCCAGAGAUAGUCUGGUUUCUGCUUCGCGGAUCGCCUACCCGUGACACCUGUCACAGGCAGGUAUGCUUCUGCCGCGGGUCCGUAAGUAAAUCAUCUGUUUCGCAAGGGACGGCGAUUUACCUGUGGAAGAGGUCCGCUAACUAUAUUCUUAGUAUAGUUUGUUCACUAGAUCAAACAUUCUGAAUAAAAACUUAAACUAGUUAAAACUUUCAACAACGGAUCUCUUGGUUCUGGCAUCGAUGAAGAACGCAGCGAAAUGCGAUAAGUAAUGUGAAUUGCAGAAUUCAGUGAAUCAUCGAAUCUUUGAACGCACAUUGCGCCCAUUAGUAUUCUAGUGGGCAUGCCUGUUCGAGCGUCAUUUCAACCCUUAAGCCCCUGUUGCUUAGCGUUGGGAGCCUACAGCCUGCUGUAGCUCCUUAAAGGUAGUGGCGGAGUCGGUUCACACUCUAGACGUAGUAAAAUCUUUAUCUCGCCUAUGGAUGAGCCGGCGCCUUGCCGUAAAACCCCUAAUCUUUCACAAGGUUGACCUCGGAUCAGGUAGGAAUACCCGCUGAACUUAAGCAUAUCAAUAAGCGGAGGAAAAGAAACCAACAGGGAUUGCCCUAGUAACGGCGAGUGAAGCGGCAACAGCUCAAAUUUGAAAUCUGGCCUUCGGGUCCGAGUUGUAAUUUGCAGAGGAUGCUUUGGGCGCGGUGCCUUCCGAGUUCCCUGGAACGGGACGCCUUAGAGGGUGAGAGCCCCGUACGGUUGGACACCAAGCCUCUGUAAAGCUCCUUCGACGAGUCGAGUAGUUUGGGAAUGCUGCUCUAAAUGGGAGGUAAAUUUCUUCUAAAGCUAAAUAUUGGCCAGAGACCGAUAGCGCACAAGUAGAGUGAUCGAAAGAUGAAAAGCACUUUGAAAAGAGGGUUAAAUAGCACGUGAAAUUGUUGAAAGGGAAGCGUUUACGACCAGACCUUUUCGCAGCGGAUCAUCCGGUGUUCUCACCGGUGCACUUCGCUGGGUUGAGGCCAGCAUCGGUUUCCGCAGGGGGAUAAAAGCCUGGGGAACGUAGCUCCCUCGGGAGUGUUAUAGCCCCUCGCAUAAUACCCUUGCGGGGACCGAGGACCGCG
rnacentral:rRNA from 1 species